AACAUGGAGGGCACUUCUGAGUCAACCACCCUGGACAACAUGGAGGGCACUUCUGAGUCAACCACCCUGGACAACAUGGAGGGCACUCCUGAGUCAACCACCUUGGAUAACGUACACAUGAGCAACACACAACCAAGACAUGGUAAAAUAGUCACAUCCCAAGCAUCCUCAAAGUGCUCCAAAGGAAAGCAAGCUGUGAAGGUGAGAAGCAAGUGGACAGGUGAUGAAGUGAAAGCUGUUGAGCGGCAUUUGCUUCAUUUCAUAACAAGCUGCAGAAUACCAGGUAAAAAGGACUGUGACUCCUGCCUCCAAGCAGAGCCAGUAGCUCUGAAAGACAGAGACUGGGUUGCUAUCAAAUACUACAUCCACAACAGAAACGUAGCAUUAAAAAGGAAGAUGAAUAGAUAGAACUAGAGCAUGCCAACUGUAGCUCAGGUACCAUUCAAUUCCAAUUUCAAUCAGCUUCUCCUCAGAUAGUGUUAAUAUCUGUGGGUUUCAUGUUCAUAUUAUUUUAUUUUCCUUAAAUGAUUUAUAUUGUUGGUUCUUGUACAAACAUGCCACAUAGGCUCGACUGUAGAUCCCACAUGUUCGUAUGUUUAUGUAUAAUUGAGGGCUAUUAAUGAGCAUAUGUUUGCCACUUAUGGUCAAAUUUUUUUUGGAAUAACAGUUGAUGAUAUAGAUUAAUACUCUGCUCUCAUUGACAGGGAAAAGAGAUAAACAGUACUUAAAGGGAUUGUUAUUGUUCUUAAGUUUUCAGAAGCACUUUGUUCUUAACCACAAGUUGUUGAAUGUGGCAAGGUGUUUAAAUUACUGUUAAACUAUUACCAUUUCAAUGGGUGCUUGUAACAGGCCUCGUGUAUGGUAACUUGCACUAUGUAACUAUGAUGUAAAUCCCUACGUUAUUUAGACAGGUUAGCUGAUUGUACACUGUCAUGUUUCAUAGAAGCUGGAUGCUUUAAUAGAGAGUUUCUCAUUCAUUUCAAACAUGCCAUUUCUACUGCCUUGUGCAUAGCAGGGAGAGGCAAAGUGUAGGUGGUCUAUUCUGGGUGUUCAAUUGAUUUGUUAAUUUGCAUAUUUUCGCUGGCACUCAAUAAAAGUAAGGCAUAAAGUGUU